rnacentral:lncRNA from 1 species
CCAUCUGGGGGCGGGGUCCAGACUGGGCGUGGCCUUGGCCUUGGAGGCGGGGUCUAGGGCAAGGCUCUAUCUGGGGGCCGGGUCUAGGUCUUGGGGUCUUGGACACUCAGCUAGACAGGGGAGGUGGGUGGGUCUUAACAGAAGCACAGCAUUGUUUCUUGGACCCCUUCCGUCCUGUCCUGCAGACGGUGAGACCCUCGUUUGUCUCCACAAACAUGAUCAACAACAAGUCAACCGGGCUGCUGGUGAAGAGUGCCGACGAGUUUGCCCGCACUGCCUUGGACACGCUGGGCCUCUCCUCCCACGUCUGUGGCUGCCUCAGCCACGAGCUGCAGAGCUUCCUGCUGCCUUUCAUCAUACCCGUAUGGCUUACCAACAGUCACUGGGGAAUCCGGCUUCUGUCUAUAGGAAGCAAGGUCAAAUUUUUCCCCUUCCUUCAAAGCGCGACAGCGCGAUCUCAGUGAAGAUGCAGUCCAGAAGGUCUCAGGUCAGAACAGAGACAAGCAGGCUGGUGGGACACUGGACGUUGGUUGACGAGGACGGCCUCACUCCCCUCUGGCAGAAAGAUGGAGUUUUUAAUAUGCGCUGUGAAAAGCUAGACAGCCAUUUGGUGACAUUCUAAAAAAAAUUUUUUUCUGGCACCGGGGAUCGAACUCAGGACCUUGUGCUUACAAGGCAGACACAGCGCCCCUCAGCUAAAUCCCUGGCAGGUGACAUUCUUAAAUUUAAAAAAAAAUGAAAUUGUAGUGGUGGUUGCACACCUUAGUGAAUGUACUGAAAACUCAGUGAUUGUACAUGUUAAAAGGGUGAAUCUUAUGUGGGUGAUAUCUCCAUAAAAAUAAUUUUAAAAUGGAGUCUCUCAAUGUGUAAAAACUGUAUUCCUUCCUUCCUUACAUCAUGCACAACAUAAGCUUGAAAUGAAUCAGCACUCCCCACAUAAAAAGGGAAACAGAAUUGCUGGAGUACAGAAGUCAAUAUUUUUCACCUUUUUUGGUUUUUUGAGGCAGGGCCUUGCUUGCUAUGUAGUCCAGGCUGGUCUUGAACUCACAGUGAUCCUCCUGCCUCAGCACUCAGGAGGGUGAGGGAGGAGGAUCACAGGCGUGUGCCACCAUACUGGGUUUUCUUUUCUAUCUUGGGAGUAGGAAAAAAUCUAAAUAUUGAAAACUUAAAACAACAGAAAGAAGUACUACUAAGUACUGAACUGUAGUUUAACCAUGUACGGGCUGAGUUAUUUGAGGAGUGCGCUGUCCCUGUGAUGGACUUUGAAAGGCUCGGGAAAGGUAGAUGAACUAGUGGUGAGUCAAUCAGGGACGGUCAGGUGUUGGUGGUAGAAUUGUGUCAUUUCUUCAGCUUUUCUGUAGGUUUUUAAUGGAUCAUAGUAAAAUGCUGGAGGAGCUGGGUGUGGUGAUGCACGCCUGUAAUCUCAGCACUUGGGAGGCUGAGGCAGGAGUCUCACCAUGAGUUUGAGGCCAGC